rnacentral:rRNA from 1 species
GACAGAGGGUGCAAACGUUGCUCGGAAUCACUGGGCGUAAAGGGCGUGUAGGCGGGGAGGAAAGUCAGAUGUGAAAUCCCCAGGCUCAACCUGGGAACUGCAUUUGAAACUCCCUUUCUUGAGUACCGGAGAGGAAAGUGGAAUUCCUGGUGUAGAGGUGAAAUUCGUAGAUAUCAGGAGGAACACCAGUGGCGAAGGCGGCUUUCUGGACGGUAACUGACGCUGAGACGCGAAAGCGUGGGGAGCAAACAGG